AAGAUAAUGACGGUACCCGCAGAAGAAGCCCCGGCUAACUCCGUGCCAGCAGCCGCGGUAAUACGGAGGGUGCAAGCGUUGUCCGGAUUUAUUGGGUUUAAAGGGUGCGUAGGCGGAUCUUUAAGUCUGUGGUGAAAGCCCAUCGCUUAACGAUGGAACUGCCAUGGAUACUGGGGAUCUUGAAUUCAGUUGAGGUAGGCGGAAUUGAUGGUGUAGCGGUGAAAUGCAUAGAUACCAUCAAGAACACCGAUUGCGAAGGCAGCUUACUGGGCUUGAAUUGACGCUGAUGCACGAAAGCGUGGGGAGCGAACAGGAUUAGAUACCCUGGUAGUCCACGCCGUAAAC
rnacentral:rRNA from 1 species